AAAUAUCCCAUCAAGCAUUAGUCUUGCAAGAUCACCAAGCUAGCUGAGAUCAACUAAUUUUGCAAGAGAAUUUUGACUGCUGUCCUUAGGAUUUCAUGGGAUGUCCAUGUUUAUAUUAUCACGGAAUUGAAUAAGUGUUCCAUGUUUAUAAUAUACGAGGGCACAUAAAAAGACGUGCCACACAAUGUCGUAGUUAACAAUUCUACCAUAUUAUUUGCCUUCUGCAGGUGAUGAUGUGGUGGCUCAUAAAUUUGGAGAGAACUCCGCACAGUACUUGAGUUUAGCAGGAUUUCGAUAUCUUACAUUCAAAUCCUAUGACGGGCUUGGUCAUUACACGGUCCCUAAAGAGAUGGAUGAAGUCUGCAAUUGGCUACACGGGAGGCUUGGGCUUGAGGGAUCGCGCUGAUGAUAUCAUAGCACACAGAAUUUCAUUUUUCUAGUUUUGACUAGUACGGCUGAAGAAUGAGAAAGGAAAUAACAGUAUUUAAAAGGCAUAUACAUAUUGAUUUAGAGGGUGCAAGGUAUAUGGUAUAGGUAAUCUAAUUCCCGUUUUGUCAUCUCACCGGUCUUACAAUAAGUCUUGGAUAUGUUGCUUUUCCUUUGGCUCCUAGACACCUAUAUUGGUGAUGUUCUAGUCGAAUUCUACUACUUAAGUUAAUUAAGAGCAUUUUGUAUUUUGUAUUUGUUUUUCCCGGUAACAAUCAAUUUAGAGGGCUAUGGUCUUUUGUGUA